CUUACCGUGAGCCAUUAAAGUAUUUGAGAGCAACUUCAUCGCGAGUUUUUUUAACAAGGGUUCUCACAAUUUCACAAAAGCGGCAUUCUAAAGAGGGCAAAACCGCUGUUUGUUUGGAUCCCCAUUUCGAAUUGGGCUGGGCAGCCUUUGGCCCACUAAUAAAUUUACCACGGCCUAAAGCUAAUGCUAAUGGGUAGGCCUAUUUACCAAUUUGGUCCAGGUCUGUUUUUCUUUCUUCCUUGUCAAACACUAGAUAUCUGAUGGCAGGGUUAUGGUUUUGAGAUUGGUCGUGGACUCCUUUCUCUCAUCACGUUGACACCUAUAGAUAGUCUAGACAAGGUGCUUUUAUUAACCUUGGUGGUAGAUCUUAGUGCCUUAAAGAGCAGCUCAUACUAUUCAUAUAAGUCUAAGAAUUUUAUGAUAGAAUCAUCCUCUUUUAUAGAGAGAACUUUUGAAUCAUCCUCUUUUAUAGAACGAACUUUUGGUUUGUCUCCGACUUUAAGUUUGCAAAACCAUUUGGAUACCUUAAUCACCUUUGUAGAAGCUGCGUGUUUCGAGCCAUUGUUAUCCAAGGUUAAAGACUCUUUAUCAACGUCACUAUGUCUCGUUUGGACCGUGACCAUUCAACAAUCUCCCAAAAUAUUCGUGUAAUUGUCUUCGACUCACCAUUCUCUCGCUUGUAGCAAGUUACUACAUUGUUCUUGUCUUCGAUGUAUGGAUCUACCGUCAAAUUAUCUUAUAUCAUUUUCCUUUACCAUUCUCUUGUGAGAGAACUUGUGGUUUUCUUUGAUGUUUCCAACCAUGAGGUUGAUGUUUGUUUAAAAUUUGUACUACAUAUGGGUUAAGUUUGAAUGAAAUUAUCUUUU